rnacentral:rRNA from 1 species
GACGUAGGUGGCGAACGUUAUCCGGAAUUAUUGGGCGUAAAGGGUGCGUAGGCGGUUCUUCAAGUCUCUCGUGAAAUCCCUCGGCUUAACUGAGGACGUGCGGGAGAUACUGAAGGGCUUGAGUCCGGAAGAGGGUGGUGGAAUUCCCAGUGUAGCGGUGAAAUGCGUAGAUAUUGGGAGGAACACCGGUGGCGAAGGCGGCCACCUGGGCCGGAACUGACGCUGAGGCGCGAAAGCGUGGGGAGCAAACGGG